rnacentral:rRNA from 1 species
AACGAACGCUGGCGGCAGGCUUAACACAUGCAAGUCGAACGGUUGUAGCAAUACAGCAGUGGCGCACGGGUGAGUAACGCGUGGGAAUGUACCCUUCAGUCGGGAAUAACAGCGGGAAACUGCUGCUAAUACUCGAUAUUAUCUCCGGAUGAAAGAUUUAUCGCUGAAGGAUCAGCCCGCGUCAGAUUAGCUGGUUGGUGGGGUAAGAGCCUACCAAGGCUGCGAUCAGUCGCUGGUCUGAGAGGAUGAUCAGCCACACUGGGAUUGAGAACGGCCC